UACUUCACAGCCUAGAAGCUAAAAUAUUGGGGUUUGUAGUUGGAUCUGUUCUUGCCGUGACUUUGUGACAUUUGCUUAAAUUCCCUCUCACUUUCAGGUUCUUCAUUUGUCAAGUUGUAGUACCUAUAUUUGAUUUUUUGUAAGGAUUAAAUGUGCUAAUUAGUAGAAAGUAGUGCAAUAUUUGUUCCUUCAAAUUCUGAAAAUGAUAUCACCACCACAGCAUGUCAAAUUGAAGGGAAUUUGAAAUGGUAAGGAUACAACUAGAAGACCACAGUCUGCAGACCAGGAGGAGUGCUCUCAUUAGACACUGGAUCUGCCAGCACCUUAAGCUUGGACUUUCCGGCCUCCAGAACUGUGAGAAACCUGUUCACAAGACAGCGAAAGGAAAAUGCCUACCACUAAGCCUACUCAAGACAUUAAAACAGUCUGAUUCACAAGUCCA